UGGGGAAGAGGCCAAGGCCACCUAUGAAAAGAACCACAAGCAUGACAGAGAUCACUUUUGAUCUAAACACCACCGCCACCACCAACGCCGAACCUCCACCCUCUGAUCCACAUAACCCUUUUAACAACUACCCCAAACAGGCUUCCCCUUUCGGUGGCGCAGCACCUUCUGUAGCUGUUGCUGGCGGUGGUGGUGGACUUGAAGGGUUGGAUCAACGGUUGUUGGCGACGGUGUCACCUAGAGUUCAUAGAAGGCAUUCAGCUGAUUUUAUGGAAACACCUCAUUUCCUAAGGUCUUGCGGUCUUUGUAGACGUCGCCUUGUUCCUGGCCGUGAUAUCUACAUGUAUAGGUAUAUCUAUAUAUUUCAGUUUUAAGGUAUAUUUAAUCGGGAGAUUUUAAUUUUAAAAAAGAAGGAAUCUCAAAUCUCUAAAUCAUGUGGCAAACAAUUCACAUUCCAAGAAGUGUUUCUUAGGCUAAUUACUUUCUUAAAGAUUUUGAUUACUUUGGGGUCAAUUUGGGUUGAUUUCUUCUUCUUUUUUACCCUUUAAUCUAUUUGUUACUGCAUGCAUCCUGUUCUAUAUUUCUCUUCACCCCUUGGAAAUCCCUUUCCGGAAACUUAUAAAUUAUGAGGAAUUUUCAGGUUGCCAUAUUAACACCUUUUUUACCAUGUAUAGUAAUUACCAUUUGAGUCCCAUAAGUUUGUUGGGAAAUCCAGAUAAAAUUAAUUUCCUUUCUUAUUAAUUAUUACACUAUUACCAAUUAGUCUCCUUUCCUAUUAGUUCAUUGAUUAAGUUAUUUAUUUGUUGUAGGGGUGAUACAGCAUUUUGCAGCUUAGAGUGCAGGCAACAGCAGAUGAACCAAGAUGAAAAAAAGGAUAAAUGUUCAAUAGCAUCCAAGAAACAAGCCGCCGCCUCUCCUGCCGCCAGAUCCAGUGUCUCAACCAAAGGAGAGACGGUUGCCGCCGUAUAGAUAUUAAUCCCCGUGACCCAAGAAGGU
rnacentral:lncRNA from 1 species